CAUGGUAGAUGCAACGCUUUGGCUGGACGUUGUACGGGAGGCCUUUGGCCUAUAUGAUUUACCAAGUGGGAAUUUGGUGGUUUCGGAAUAUUCCGUCUUGUAUGUAGGUAGUUGAGAAGAAUCUGGAUCUAAUGUAUGAUCUUCUCUUACUGUAGGAUCUGUUACGACCCAUUUGCACCGGAAAAAUUCACCAAGCACAGAGUUGUAAGGCUUUACCACACGACCACGAACAAAACGAAGGUCCUUUGUAAACCACCAACGCAAUACGCCCAACAUUCUUUCAAGUUCGUCAUCAGAAUCGCCCAUGACUGCAAAGUAGUCAGGUCGAUCAACAUAGUUCCAGUACUCCAAGUUUCCAACAGGCUCUAACAAUUGUGCAGGUAAACUAAAGCGAAGACUAGCAAUAUCCUUCACACCAAUGCAUUGUUUCAAUAUGGAAAGAACUAGCUUGAAUUUUCCUUCUUCUUUCUGAUAACCC